UACGGGGGGUGCAAGCGUUGUCCGGAAUUAUUGGGCGUAAAGGGCUCGUAGGCGGUUUGUCGCGUCGGGAGUGAAAACCAGGUGCUUAACACUUGGCUUGCUUUCGAUACGGGCAGACUGGAGGUAUGCAGGGGAGAACGGAAUUCCUGGUGUAGCGGUGAAAUGCGCAGAUAUCAGGAGGAACACCGGUGGCGAAGGCGGUUCUCUGGGCAUUACCUGACGCUGGGGAGCGAAAGUGUGGGGAGCGAACAGG
rnacentral:rRNA from 1 species